UUUUGACCUCGGAUCAGGUAGGGAUACCCGCUGAACUUAAGCAUAUCAAUAAGCGGAGGAAAAGAAACCAACAGGGAUUGCCCUAGUAACGGCGAGUGAAGCGGCAACAGCUCAAAUUUGAAAUCUGGCUCUUUUAGAGUCCGAGUUGUAAUUUGCAGAGGGCGCUUUGGCUUUGGCAGCGGUCCAAGUUCCUUGGAACAGGACGUCACAGAGGGUGAGAAUCCCGUACGUGGUCGCUGGCUAUUGCCGUGUAAAGCCCCUUCGACGAGUCGAGUUGUUUGGGAAUGCAGCUCUAAAUGGGAGGUACAUUUCUUCUAAAGCUAAAUAUUGGCCAGAGACCGAUAGCGCACAAGUAGAGUGAUCGAAAGAUGAAAAGCACUUUGGAAAGAGAGUCAAACAGCACGUGAAAUUGUUGAAAGGGAAGCGCUUGCAGCCAGACUUGCUUACAGUUGCUCAUCCGGGUUUCUACCCGGUGCACUCUUCUGUAGGCAGGCCAGCAUCAGUUUGGGCGGUAGGAUAAAGGUCUCUGUCACGUACCUCCUUUCGGGGAGGCCUUAUAGGGGAGACGACAUACUACCAGCCUGGACUGAGGUCCGCGCAUCUGCUAGGAUGCUGGCGUAAUGGCUGUNA
rnacentral:rRNA from 3 species